AAUUAAAAUAAAAUUUUAUUUAUUAAUUAAAAUCAGUUUACAAUAAAAUCAGUUUUACAAAACUAAACCAAAAUUAAAAAGUAAACUAAACCAGAACAAAUUAAACCAUACACUAACUAAAACACAUUAAACCAAAACCUAAUUAACCUAAACCUAAGCAGCCGCCCACCACCUCGUCUCAUCUGCUACGACUUGCUUCCGCGUCUCGGCGCCUCCUUGUGCUUCAUGCCUCAGCCUCAAAUCACCUUUUUCUGAACCGCAUCUACCUCUGCCUCCGUGUCUGGUUUGUCACUACCACCAUCUCCACUGCAUCGUCUUCUUCCUCUGUCAUCUCCGUACCACCUCCGCUGUAUCUUCCUUCUUCAUGACGUCGUCUCCUUUCACGCUUUCAUCUUCGUCACCAAACCGGAGGACAAGGCUUCGCGGAGAAGGCGGUCGGAGGAGGAGAACGGAGGAAGCUUCACGGAGAAAGGGUCAGGGAGGAGAAGGAGCCAUUCGGAUAGGAGGAGAGGAGGAGCGUAUAGGAGUGAUGUGUAUUUGGAUCUCCUGUGUAUUUGCAGAUUGAUGUGGAGAAGAAAGACUGUGGUGGUGAGUUCUCGAUGGAAAAGAAAGAAGAAGAUAAGAGUUGGCCAGUGAGAAAAGAAAAAGAAAUCAUAAAUGAAUGUUUGUGAACCAUUGGAUUAAAAAUCAAUGGUCAAAAAUAACAAUCCUUCUUGUGCAAGAUCUACCAAUGAGAAAAGAGUACAUAGAUAACACAAGUAUGAUUUUGGGCCUUUGGAUUAAACCAAUCAAUCAAUGGCCAAAAUAAUUCCAUGUUUUUAUGAUUAACCAAUAAAAUAAUUUACUUUCUUCAUUUAUUGAAAUUAAUAUUAUCAAUUGUAUAAAUAACUUCAUAUUUUAUGUUUAAUAUUUUGCUAUUAAUAAUUAUAUAUAUGAGAUUAAACUUUUUAAAAAAAAGUAAAGUCUAUAUUAAAGUAUGAGGUUUUAAAUUUAAAAAUAUUAUAUUUGAUGUUUUAAAUAAGAAUAUGUAGUUAAAAAUAUAUAAAAUAAAAUUUAUAAUUUAAAGAUUUUGAUUAUGAUUUAGAUUUCGGUGAUUUAGUUUAAAAAUUAAAGAAAGAUUAAAGUUCAAACUUAUGUUUAGAGUUUGGAGUUUAAGAAUAUGGUUAGUUUAAAGUUUAAUGGUUACUUAAAGUUUUAUGUGUAUAAGCUUAGGGUUUAGAGUUUGAAAUAUAGUAUUAGGAGUUAGUUUCGAAUAUACAAUUUAUGUUUUGGAGUUUAUAAUUAAUUAAAUUUAGUGUUAUGAUAUAAGGUUUGGAUUAUGGGGUUUGAGAUUUAGAGUGAAAUUUGAGGAUAAAUUUUAAAAAUUAGCCAGAUUUGUAAUUUAUGUGUUAAGUUUGGUGUUUAAGUUGGAAAAUAUUAGUUUUACUGUGUAUAUUUAUAUAUAAUUUAUGGUGAACUACAUAUAUAUUUGGGGUUUGAGGAAUAGGGUUUGGAGUUUAGAUAUAGGGUUUGGAAUUUAAAUUAUUAAUUUAGGGGUUAUAAAUGUUAAAGUGAAGUAUUAGAUAUGAAUGUUAAAACUUAGUUAUAAAGUUAAAGUUAUAAAACUAUAAAAUUUUAUAAAUUACAAAAUGUGUUUAAAAAGAGUUUAUGAUUUGGUAUAUAGUUUAAGUUUAGAGUUUUAGUGUUUGAAAUAUAAUGUUUGAAAAUAGCUUUUCUUAGCCUUAAAAUAAUGCUAUCAUAUGUUUUUGAUAUCAUUAUUGAAACCGCUUAAAUAAUGUUUUUGGCGCUUACGUAUAAUUUCUUUUUUGGAUCUCCUGUGUAUUUGCAGAUUGAUGUGGAGAAGAAAGACUGUGGUGGUGAGUUCUCGAUGGAAAAGAAAGAAGAAGAUAAGAGUUGGCCAGUGAGAAAAGAAAAAGAAAUCAUAAAUGAAUGUUUGUGAACCAUUGGAUUAAAAAUCAAUGGUCAAAAAUAACAAUCCUUCUUGUGCAAGAUCUACCAAUGAGAAAAGAGUACAUAGAUAACACAAGUAUGAUUUUGGGCCUUUGGAUUAAACCAAUCAAUCAAUGGCCAAAAUAAUUCCAUGUUUUUAUGAUUAACCAAUAAAAUAAUUUACUUUCUUCAUUUAUUGAAAUUAAUAUUAUCAAUUGUAUAAAUAACUUCAUAUUUUAUGUUUAAUAUUUUGCUAUUAAUAAUUAUAUAUAUGAGAUUAAACUUUUUAAAACUCGUUUGUUAUCUUUUCAUGAUUUCCACAUAUAUUCAGUCACUUGUCGUUGGCUCUCGCAGAGAUCCGGGACCUCUGGAAAAUUAGGGUUUCUCUAGUUUCCUUAUUUAAACGGAAAUCGACAGUGCGAAUUUCGGUUCCCACAAUGUGCUGUCACACACAUAUAUCCUUCCCGCUUCACUGAUGUCCACAAGUCAGAGGUGAAAGAGACUCGUCCUGGAAGACUAGCCAAUUCUCUUUUCAGCGUCUCUCUCUCACUCUCAUAUAGUCGAUACACAUCAGUUCUCGCUGUGUUUCGACAUAUGGUUUGGACAUCAGCAUUCAAAUACUUCCAUGUGUCUCUCACCUUUUCAUACUCCACGUACGAGUAUGGUAGAUCAUGCUGCACUAUUGUCUUAGCAACCAGUUGCCUGAAGACAGUAUGAUUAUACUUCCGAGACACAACUUUCCCCUCGACAUUGAGUUGCUGCUGCUUUCCUCCAUUCCUAGGAUACAUCUUACAUCUUAAACGAUGCCUUCUCAACCCACUAGUUCCAUGUGAAUGGGACUGCCAUGCAUACUCCCUCUUACAAUGAUUGCAAGCAGCUUUCAGCUUCCCAUUGGGUUUCUGAACCACCGUGAAAUCUUUCCACACAUCUGAUCGUUGCCUCUCUUCCCUUUCCUCUUCACCGAGCUCAAGCUCAUCAAGCCCUUCUUCAUUCAGUUCAUCCUCAAGCUCCGGUAUCUCUUCUUCCAUCUUAUUCUUCUUCUUCUUCUGAGACUGACUACCGGAGCCCUUAGACACGCCCU
rnacentral:lncRNA from 1 species